rnacentral:rRNA from 1 species
GUCCACGCCUUAACGAUGGAUACUAAGUGUCGGCGGGUUACCGCCGGUGCCGCAGCUAACGCAGUAAGUAUCCCGCCUGGGAAGUACGGCCGCAAGGUUGAAACUCAAAGGAAUUGACGGGGCCCGCACAAGCGGUGGAGCAUGUGGUUUAAUUCGACGCAACGCGAAGAACCUUACCCAGGCUGGACAUGCAGGUAGUAGAAGGGUGAAAGCCCAACGAGGUAGCAAUACCAUCCUGCUCAGGUGCUGCAUGGCUGUCGU